rnacentral:lncRNA from 1 species
GAAAAUCAAAUUCAUUUUUUUUUUUCACAGAAAUCAUCAUUGGCAUCUCACCAGAAAUCUAAUGGAGCAAUAAUCAACUCAAAAACAAAACAAACACACACCACCAACCAAGCAAGAUAAAACAAUAAAGCCAACAAAAGUAAUAAAAGUGAUACACAUAUCUACUCUCACCCCCCUCCCCCAAACUUAUUACAGAACAUAAGUUCGAAAAUAAGUUUGGAGGGAUGAUGAUAUGUGUGUCACUACUCACAGAAACACAUGCUCCAAGGUGGUAGUAGGGACAAGGCGCGAGUUCCCGCAUCUUCCAAACUCAACACUGCACCAAACUCUCAAACAAAACAAAGAAAACAAAGGAACAAAAAGAAACAAAAAGAACGAAAAACAAAACAAAGAAGAAAAAUAGUUGGGUUACCUCCCAACAAGUGCUUAAUUUAACGUCUAGAGCUCGACGAUACCUCAUGUUCUCAAUGAACAUCAAACACAGCGGGCGUGACAGAACGCUUAACACGAACAGAGGUAGAAGACCCAUGCGCAUCAGCUGCGUGAAAGACGACGCUUCCAUUGGGCACAUCUAUCAUAGCCCUCCCCGUAGCUAAGAAUGAUCGACCAAGAAUCAACGGCGG